UGCUCUUCCCACGAGCGCCCGACGGCGCCGCCACCCCUCCCCGCGACGCGUGGACUGACGGCCCCAGCCUCUCCGUUGCAACCCCUCUCCUCUGUCGCAUCCGCGAGGCCCGCCGCGAGCCGCCGCCCCUUCCCCCGUCGCGGGGACUCACGGCCCCGGCCUAUCCAUCGACUCCCCUCUCCUCCGCUGCGAGCCGCCACCCCCUCCCCCCGUCGCGGGGCCUAGUCUUGUCCAUCGCAGCCGCGAGCCGCCGCCGCCGCCCCCUCCCUCCGUCGCCGAGAUCGCCUGGAGAUUCGCUGCCCCGUCAUCUCCGUCGCAGCCCCCUCCCCUCUGUCACGGGGAUCGCCAGGGGAGUCACGGACCCGUCCCCUCGGUAGCGGGAAUCGGCCGGAGCGAGAUCGCCGGGAGCAUCCAACCCGAGUUGGACAAGAUCUAGUUCGUGAGCCUCACAGAUAAGAGCAAGCUGGUGCCAGGACAACAUCGUCCCAGCACCCUUACUCCUCUAUGGUGGUGGAAAUGUGCUAUCCGGCAGGCGCUCUAUCUUGCUGGAAUGGGCUCUAUUUGGAAGGCGCUCAUUGGCAAGGUACUAUCCGGCAGGCGCUCUAUCUUGCUGAGAAUUCCGGAGCCCAAUACUUUCAAGUUGCUUCGGACUGUCUCUCAGUAAUUAAAAAACUGCAGCAGCAAGGGCUAGAUAGGUCUUCGACAGGUGCUAUUGUGCACGAUAUUAAAUUGAGAGCCACAAAGUUUGCAUCUUGUACCUUUAAGCAUGUAUACCGUUCAUGUAAUGAGGCAGCCCAUGUUCUUGCCAAGACGGCAGAACAUGAUCAAGAAUCCUGUUGGUUUAAUGAGCCACCUGAUGUCAUCAGGGCCAUUAUUUGUACUGAACAGUUGUUUGAAUGAAUGAAAGGCUGCUGCCAUUUGUCUCAAAAGAAAAA